AUUGUAUGCUUCAAUAAGCUUAGGCGUGAAGCGCCUGCAUGGUGGGCACCAUGAGGCCGAGAAGUAGAGGGCAACGGUGCUUGCCUCGAUGCUGCUGAUCUUCACCUGCAGGACAAUAAGGCCUUCAGGUAAGAGACGCAGUUGUUUGGGACUUCCUGUUGAUCUCAUCUUAUCACUACCAAUAAGAUCAUCACCAAAUCAAUAUCACACAAGCAUGGGACGUCGGCUGUAAUGGGAUCGAGACGAUGCUCCAGCUCUCCCCCCCACACCCCCGGCUGCUACUUCGCAAGUGUCGGUCUUGCCACAACAGAUGGGAUUUUGGCAAUCACGCUUCAAUCUGUCUCUACUUUAACAUGAGGUGCCCGUAAUAACUAAGCCAAGCCGGUUGGCCACUUGCGAGCGAUAAGUAGAGGGAGGCCAGCCACUUGUGACCCUUAUCCUCUUGUCUCCCCUGUCUCUCUCUCUCUCCACUCGCCUCCCGGCCAUAGAGGAGGCGAAGCGGCUGGACUGAUCUGCGGCGACGGAGGAGGUGGAGAGCGGAUCCAGCGGUGACGGUAGCUUCCCGCGUCGGAUUCGGCGGCGACCACAGCAGAUCCUCGGGCCACGCUGCUGCCGAUGGAUCCCUCAAGUCCCCUGGCUUGGUGGUGCCCGCAUCGCCGCAGCCCGCGCCUCGUCAGGGCGGCAUCCGGUGUCAUGACCUCGCCCCACCCCGACAUCGUCUGCUCCUGCUAGGACUGAUGGGGCUUCAUCUGGCUCUGGUUCCGGAUCAUCCUAGGAAGAGGAAGGGGAGGGCCCAAGCUGUUCUCGUCCCUGUUGCUUCUCCGACCAGUGGUUGUUGGUUGGGUCGAUGAAGCCAGUGGCCGAGAAGGAUGUUCUUAGAUGUUUGUUCAACCUGUUUAUGUAUUCUUGGAUGUUCUUGAUGUUUCCAGAUACCGAUUAAUAUUGAUGGAAUAUAGUUGGGGUGAAGGGAAGUUGCUCGAUGAAAUCGAGCCACCUUUUUUAAGUUCCUGUAACCUCAAUAGUGCCGGUUCCUAGACCACCUCAAAGGUGUCGUCUACUGGUGCCUGUUGUAAAAUCCGGCACCCAUGAGGGUUUCCCAACCGACAUAUAUAGUUAUUUCUGUA